rnacentral:ncRNA from 2 species
UGGGCUCGUCGCGACUGGCGCCGGGUGGAACAACCACCGGGGAGCGACGAGGUACGCCGACCAACGGGGCCGCCCGCCUGGGUCCCACGG